AUGGGUAAAGUAAAUGAAUUUUUGGUUUCUAGUUCUUUUGUCUUUUUCUUGUUUGUUUUGUUUUGUGGUAAAAGUGGAGUAGAAUUGUUUGUACCAGUAUUGGUCCUGAAGCACUAUUUCUGGUAUCCGGCUCUGAAGCAGUAUUUCUGGAAAAAAGAUACAUAACCGGCUACGACGUAGUGUUUUUGGUAUUCGUCCCUGACACAAUAUUUCUGAUAUCCGGCUCUGUGGUGCAAAAUUGGGGUAUCAACAGUUGCCCCUCAAGAGCCCGAUUUCGCACCAAUAAUCUUGUUUGUAUUUCAAAAUGAUUUGAAAAAUUGAUAAAGAGGUUCCGGCGUUGGCCAGAUUUCGUCUUGGUUGAGCUUUGUCGGUCCCGUUUAAACCAGGAGGUUUUGAAUCAUGUGUUGUUGAUCUUCGUGUAUCCCUUUUUGAGCUGUAUCUUCUCGCUUUCAAUGCUGUUUUUUUUUUUUUUUUGCAAAUUCUAUAGAGGUGUGUUUAUGAGUUUAUCUUCCAAUCUUGUUGUAGAAGCUAAAGAUUCCUUUAUAAAAUAGAGAAAGGAAAUUAUACCUCAUGAAACAACCCAUUUUUUCUUUUUAUCAUUAUUUCUUCAGCAUGUCAUACCAACGUCCGAGAACCGUUCUAUCGAGAAUUCCACCUCUUCCAACUGUGGGUGAAAUGAGAAACGUGGGGCCUUUAACUGAUGUUGAGCAUCACAUUUCGGCAAAGAUCCGCGACGACACGGUGAGUUUUACCAUUUUCGGCUCCAUGGUAUCUUGUUCUCUCUAUCCUCAGUGUCUACCCUUCAAUCAAUUCUUAUUAACCUUCAGUUUAUUUUUUUAUUGGACUGCCAUUGGGUGUACCCCCGUGGUUCAAAUACUGGAGUGGCUGAAUAGUGGACAAUACUGAGAAGAUGAAGAGGUGUCCGUGAGAUUGUACGAGGGACCGGCUGGUUUGACUUUAUCCAUGCUUUGAAACCAUUCCAUGACCGGGAGAAUGUAGUUACUGUGACCGAACGAUGGUGGAAUGAUACCAACUCCUUUCAUCUCCCACACUGCGAGCUUACCAUCACUCCUUUGGAUGUUUAUAUGAUUACCGGACUAAGCGUGGGAAUAGGAGUCCCGGUGCCUUGGGAACUAGGGAUGACAGAGGAGAGGAUACGAUUGAUAUUAGGGCCGUGGUGCGGGGAUGUAUUCCCUCAUAAGGGAGCGAUCAACUUAUCUGCGUUGAAAACCUGUUUUUCUAGCGUUGUACUACAACUCGCUGAUGAUGCUCCAAAAGAUGACGCCAAAGUUGUUGAUGUUACAAGAGCCUUCCUUGUUUAUACCAUGGUCCAUGGGUAAUACUUUUCUUUCUUCGGCUAGUGGUCAACUCAAAUCGGGUUACCUGGAUGCCUUUGUUGAUCUGGAUUUGGUGGGAUUUUAUGGUUGGGGAAGUUGUGCGAUGGCAUACCUCUACAAAUAUCUUUCUCGAGUAACUCGAUCCCGAACAAAAUCUUUGUGCAGGUUUUGGCCUGUCCUGCAGUUCCGGUGCUAUGAAUAUAUCCCUGCCAGCAGCCCAGUCUUCAAUGAUGGUUAUUUCGAUAUCCAAACAUUUCCUCGAAUGGCCAUAUGGAAUAAUACACAACGACAAAAUUCAUCAGCAUAUAUGCGCCUUUGUUUGGAUGAGACUACGAUUGAUUCCGUAAUAUACUGAUUUCUUUUUUUUUUUAAUUAUAUUCCUUUGUUUCAGAUUUGCUGGGACCCUUGGAGUAACUACCCGAUCGGUCAGGAUCAAAAAGCAAGUUAUGCCGCUGUGUGUAACCCACUACGUUACCUGUUAAGAGGUCCGAAUUACUGUGCUUGGUAUCUUGGUGAUAGAUUUGGGCGACAAAUCGGUCAGCCGGACGCUACACCCCGCUUUCAUCCCCUAAGAAGACAUGCUUCAGUAAUGCGUCAUUUUACGAGAUGGAUGGUAUGUCACGUGAACCGCAACUCUCGUAUGAAGACUCAGUUGAUCGCGGGUUAGAUUUUGACACGUAUUGGAGAACUGUUUCUCUUGGUCCACUUCAUCGCACUCGGUCCAGUACCAAAAAUCGCGUGCUGGGAGGUCCUGAUUUUGCUUGUCGACUAUUAUUGAUGGGGUCUUCUAGUACUUCUACUCAGCAUGCUUCACCACUUGAUUCUGGUCACUUGAUUCCUCCAUGGGAUUUCAAAGUAUCUAUCUUUGGCACUUCAAAUGUGAUUUCUUUUCAAGGUGGCCCAUUUGACAUUCAAGACGUCGUUGGCCUACCCCUUCCGGAUGAUAUCCCUAAGGCUUACAAGGAUUUUAUCGAGUAUUUGCUUCGUUUAGUGGAUAGCCGCGAACGUCGAUUGAAGUCUGUAGUGAAUGAAAUGUACGGUAUCAUGACGAAGUAUGAUAACAUCAGCAUGGAAUCCUUGAGGCAGCAAACACGCAUCGACUUUCUUUCUGAAGAAUUGUCUACGCUUCAGAUGUUCUAUGAAGUAUGCCAGCAUUUACAUUUUGUUUUUCCCUUUAUUUAUUUUCUUUCCUUUUUUCCUUUUUUUUCUUUAAUAGGGUAGAGGGCCGAGUGGGUCUGAUGAUGACACUAAUGGGUCGGGUAGCCCACGAGGUCGUGGGCUUUAUUUUUCCAACACCCGGAUAUGUCUGAUGGAACUCUAAUUGUCUCCAUUUAAAUACCUAGUAUUCUUCUUCUCGGCCAUCAACUUAUCAUUUCUCUGCACAUCCGCCUCCUUCACCUUCAGCGUUCAUCAGAGACCCUGAAACCAUCUUGAAUCCUUCUCAUCAUCAUCGGAUCCGAGUUUCAAUCUUCUUUUCCUUCUGAUCGUCGCUUUUAUUUGUAGAUUAAGAAUAUAUUCUUUUACUUCCUGCUCAUUUGGUUUAUCGCUGUUGUUAUCAUCUACUGGUGGAUGAAAGAUAUCGAAACAAGAGGAGGUUAGAUGAAGAACAACUUCUCCGUCGCUGAGUUAACCAAAAUGAUGUUUCAGCCGGAAUCUCAUUACAGAUCCGCACAAGGUACAUUUUUUCAGCAUUCGAGGUGAAGACAUCUCAAGGUUUAACUUAAUAUUGGUUGGAAGAUGGAGAUCUGAUGAGUUGGGGAUUUUGUAUGUAUCUGCAGAGUAUAUCUAAUGAUAAAUCAGGGUUUCUAAGGUUGAAGCCAGAUUUGGAUUUUGAUGUUCUUUGACUAAAUGGACGGUCAUGCAUAUGAUGAAGAUGUCUGUCCCAUGCGUAUAAGGUACUGAUCUUGCAUCCAGAGUUUGUUGGUGUUGAUCAGUGGGAAAUGGUGAUGAACUCGAGGCUCAGGACAUGUUCAGACUUAACCAUCGUCUUCAUGCAUUAGAUCCUCCCUUCUUCCUUUUGAUUUAUUGCUUGUUGUUGUUUCCACUUUUUCUAUAUAUUUUUGUUUGUUUUUGGAUAUGCCAAGAUCAUACAAUGUAUCCUCAAAAUGGGCGACUUUUCUAAUGUAAUUGUAUGACGAUGAUAUUGUAAACUCCUUCCAUGUGAAUGAAACGUCUCGUUCUUGUGGUG